UAGUCCAUGAACAAUUGGAUUUGUAGUCCAUGAACAUCUGGAGAGCCGCAGGUUGCAGACCCCUGAACUAAUGGAAUUGUGUGCUUCAAUCAUUGACCAUGAGACCACUAUUGAGUGUGUUUCUCCGCUACCUUCAGUCUGAGGAGAUCAGGUUCGCCACCACGGAGGUAGGAUAUAAAUGUUUUAAUUAAAUUAUAGCUUUGGCGAUUUCAUUUCAAAAGGGGGGGAAGGGGAGAACCAAGCAUGUCGGUAAAACGUACAGUAUGUACCACCUAUGGAAGAGAUACAGACAUGUUGAACUGUAUAUAGACUUCUUUUUUAAAGAGGACACUGUUGAGCAGGAUCCCCAACGUUUUCGAGCCUGGGCAUUUUGGAAUGAUGACACAGGGUGCUGGGCACCACCAUAAAAUGGCAGAUGCAGAGGUGGAGCUGACCAUUAAAUCUUGACUGAGGGUAUGUAUAACUCUCAUAGUAAAUCUUCAGCAUUUCGGGCAGUGAAGAUCCUUGAUGCCAGCACCUGCCAAAACAAUGUUUAAAAAAAUCUGUACAACCGGUUGGAAGAGUCGCUGUGUGAAGCUUCCUUGAGCCUACCUUCCAUUUUCUGAAACACUUGGCAGAUGCUGGGGGCGGAGCGAGGGGGAAAUGCUCCUGGGGCAUUGCCACGCCCCUGCACCGGUGCACACCCAGGGUGUUGCGUUCCCCGCCGUCCCAUUGGUGCUGUACCACUGGCAGAUGCUAAAAAAGGUAUUGGGUGGGCAUCCAAGGACAUAAUCAGGACUCCUGCUAUUGGCAGUUGGAUCAUCUUUGUUGAUCAGGAUGGUGCUGAGAGAUCUAUCUAAAUGUGUUAAGUUGGCCUUAAUCCUCAGACUGUGAAAAGGUAGGAAAGCGGUGCUGUGGAGCGAAGGUUGUGCUGAGCGAUGCCUUUCAUGCACCCACAUUUGACUGUUCGUGGGGUAGGAUUCAGUGCUGAAUGGGCCUCUGGUGUAAUCAGAUAGAAUCUGUAUUCUUAUGCCUACAUGUGAAUAAAGUGCCUUACUCAAAAACUUGAUGGGGAAUUUUAUUGUUGCCACAAAGGGCAUAGUUGACUCCUUUUUUGUGGUACCCAGACUCUCAUUCACUUAACCAAAUUACAGGGGCAACCCUAAGUAGUAUUAGACCAGUGGUUCUCAACCUUCCUAAUGCCGCGACCCUUUAAUAUAGUUCCUCAUGUUGUGGUGACCCCAACAUUUAUCCAUUUUGCAGAUGGAGAACACUGAUGCAGAGAGUCUUAGGCGACCCCUGUGAAAGGGUCGUUCGACCCCCAGGUUGAGAACCACUGAAUUAGAACCUUUCUAGCCCAUUGAGUUGAUUUAGAAGGGUUUAACUCUGCUUACAAUGGCACUGUUAGGACCGCCACUUUACUCUUAAAAACACAUUUUGCUUCCUUAAGGCUUUGUUCUCACUUGUCUGAAGUCUAAGUCUGCUAAGAAGUACUUGUAUUGUGCCCUCAAAAGGUAACCCCCUGGUUGUGUGAAUGGGCAUCCCCAUGUGAGGCACUUGGCUUUCCUUUUCUACAACUUAGUUGUCGAGUGCGACGGGUGAAUUAAUCUCAGUUAAAUGAAUUUGGUUUAUGUAUUCUGUGCCGAUGUGAUAUGGGGUAGUUGCCUUUCAUGUCAGUUGUACGUUUUUGGCUGUUUUUUUUUUUUUAAAGAUGUGUGUCUUUCCUAGAACUCAUAUUUUUGAGGAACUGUCAUAGGACGUGAAAACAGAGAAGCAGCAUGAAUUGCUGCCGCCUCUCCUCCCACCCCCACCCCACCCCCUCCACGCCCGCCA